UACAGAGGGGCAAGCGUUGUUCGGAAUUACUGGGCGUAAAGGGCGCGUAGGCGGCCUGCUAAGUCGAACGUGAAAUCCCGGGCUCAACCCGGGAACUGCGUCCGAUACUGACAGGCUUGAAUCCGGGAGAGGGAUGCGGAAUUCCAGGUGUAGCGGUGAAAUGCGUAGAUAUCUGGAGGAACACCGGUGGCGAAGGCGGCAUCCUGGACCGGCAUUGACGCUGAGGCGCGAAAGCCAGGGGAGCAAACGGG
rnacentral:rRNA from 1 species